rnacentral:rRNA from 1 species
AUGGGAUUACAUCCCGAGUUAUUUGUGAAAAUAAAAAAUAAAGAGGUUGUGGAAGUCAAUAUUCUCGCAUUUAUUGCUACUGUGCUGUUUAUUAUAGUUCCUACUGCUUUUUUACUUAUUAUUUAUGUAGAAACAGUCAGCCAAAAUAAUUAG